UGCCAGGAAAGAGAGAGAGAGGCGUUGCAUCCUACUAUGGCGCCAGACAUAGCUAUCAACAACUCUGUCGAACACUGUUCUUAAAUCAGACACGUAAUGAUGAAAGAAGAUGAAGUCGACGCGGAGAAAAGUUUAUAAAAAGGGAGCGAGAGGAAGGCAGGAGAACAAGAGAAAAGGCGAAGAGAAUACGGAGAUAAAGAUUAACAUUGGCGACGAGUUCAUUUUUUUUUGCAUUUUCUCCUUUCGGCAUUUAGCUCAAACACUUCAAUAAACGAAACUUGUGGAUCCCUAAAUCACUAUUUAUUGUUUGAUUAAGGAUCCAUAAACUCGAUUACCGUUUUUAGGAUUCAACACAGAGCAUAUCCUCACCAAAUCUACUAAACCCUUUCAAAAUCAGCUUCUUCUUAAUCUUCAACGGUAAGUUCCAAACAGACGUUUAUAAGAAGCUUAUUCUCGUCAUCAAAACCUGUUGGAAGUCUGUCUUCUUCCUUGAUAAAAUGAAUAGACUGACUUUUUCGAUUUUUACAGUAGUUUUACCAACCAAACCGUUCGUCGUAGCCGGAUUAAUAGCUAGUUGGAAAACAUGUAAUGAACAUUAUAAUUUAGUAUAUACAAACAAAAAAAUCAAACUAAAUAGAAAAUGAAGCUAUGAAAAAGGCAAGUUGAAAUGAUCAAAAGACAAAAACACAGUCAGCUUUUGUCUCAGCAAAUAUGUGUCGUAUCAUUGAUCAAACAAAGUCUUCAAGGAGAAAGAAGAGACGGCUCCGCGCGCGACGAGCCAAACAGCACUGGGUCAGGGAGACUGUGGCGUAGGGCUACUACUUUUAGGCCAAAUUACUUUUCUUUUUUUUUUGCUCAUUUUCUCUGAAAGAUCAAUAUGUAUUUUCUUUUAAAUAAUAUGUAGUUCGUGAUACAAAAACACACUAGAUAUUAAUCCGCA
rnacentral:lncRNA from 1 species